GAUGGACGCUAGCGGCAGGCUUAAUACAUGCAAGUCGAGGGGCAGCAGGGGUAGCAAUACUCGCUGGCGACCGGCAAACGGGUGCGGAACACGUACGCAACCUUCCCAAAACUGGUGAAUAGCCCUCCGAAAGGAGGAUUAAUACACCGUACCAUAAUGAAGUGGCAUCACUUUAUUAUUAUAGCUCCGGCGGUUUUGGAUGGGCGUGCGCCUGAUUAGGUAGUUGGCGGGGUAACGGCCCACCAAGCCUGCGAUCAGUAACUGGUGUGAGAGCACGACCAGUCACACGGGCACUGAGACACGGGCCCGACUCCUACGGGAGGCAGCAGUAAGGAAUAUUGGUCAAUGGACGCAAGUCUGAACCAGCCAUGCCGCGUGAAGGAUGAAGGCCCUCUGGGUUG
rnacentral:rRNA from 1 species